rnacentral:rRNA from 1 species
UAAUACGAAGGGGGCUAGCGUUGUUCGGAAUUACUGGGCGUAAAGCGCACGCAGGCGGUUCGGUCAGUCAGAAGUGAAAGCCCCGGGCUUAACCUGGGAACUGCUUUUGAUACUGCCGAGCUUGAAUCACGGAGAGGGUAGUGGAAUUCCGAGUGUAGAGGUGAAAUUCGUAGAUAUUCGGAAGAACACCAGUGGCGAAGGCGACUACCUGGCCGUCGAUUGACGCUCAUGUGCGAAAGCGUGGGGAGCAAACAGG